GACGAACGCUGGCGGCGCGCUUAACACAUGCAAGUCGAGCGAGAACCGGGGCUUCGGCCCCGGGGACAGCGGCGAACGGGUGAGUAACACGUGAGUAACCUGCCCUCGGCACCGGAAUAGCCCGGGGAAACUCGGAUUAAUGCCGGAUAGCCCCUCUGCCCUGCGGGGCGGCGGGAAAAGGUAGCUUCGGCCUCUGGCCGAGGAUGGGCUCGCGGCGGAUGUAGCUUGUUGGCGGGGUAACGGCCCACCAAGGCGACGAUCCGUAGCUGGUCUGAGAGGACGAUCAGCCACACUGGGACUGGGACACGGCCCAUGCUCCUACGGGAGGCAGGAGUGGGGAAUCUUGCGCAAUGGGCGAAAGCCUGACGCAGCGACGCCGCGUGAGGGAAGAAGGCCUUCGGGUUGUAAACCGCUUUCAGGAGGGACGAAGCCACUCGGGUGAACAGCCCAGAGGGUGACGGUACCUCCAGAAGAAGCCCCGGCUAACUACGUGCCAGCAGCCGCCGUAACAC
rnacentral:rRNA from 1 species